CCUACGGGAGGCAGCAGUGAGGAAUAUUGGUCAAUGGCCGUAAGGCUGAACCAGCCACGUCGCGUGAAGGAAGAAGGAUCUAUGGUUUGUAAACUUCUUUUAAAGGGGAAUAAAGGUAUCCACGUGUGGAUAUUUGCAUGUACCCUAUGAAUAAGCAUCGGCUAACUCCGUGCCAGCAGCCGCGGUCAUACGGAGGAUGCGAGCGUUAUCCGGAUUUAUUGGGUUUAAAGGGUGCGUAGGUUGGUGUGUAAGUCAGCGGUUAAAGUUUGUGGCUCAACCAUAAAAUUGCCGUUGAAACUGGAAGACUGGAGUGUGUGUGAGGUAGGCGGAAUGCGUGGUGUAGCGGUGAAAUGCAUAGAUAUCACGCAGAACUCCGAUUGCGAAGGCAGCUUACUAAGCCAUAACUGACACUGAAGCACGAAAGCGUGGGGAGCAAACAGGAUUAGAUACCCCUGUAGUC
rnacentral:rRNA from 1 species